UUUCGUGAGGUGCAGGACUUAGCUCACUCUGUGAACAGAUCUCGGAUAUCCUAUGUUCACAGUGGCUAAGUUCCGCUCCUCUG
rnacentral:pre_miRNA from 8 species